UGCCUAGCAACUCCUUUCCCUUCCUCCUCAAGGUACUGCCCGGAGUACGAGCAACUUGAGGGAAGAUCGGGAAAUUAAUACCGGUGGGAGCUCUGGUCGUAUGCUGAUAGGGAAGA
rnacentral:ribozyme from 1 species